GAAUUUAGAAUCUGUAUUGUUAGUGGAAAUCCCCUUGUUGAGAGAUAGAGAAGGCAAGAGAUGACCUCUAAGAAAGGAUGACAGUAGCACAUGAAGCUGAUACUAAAAACUCACAGUGCUCCCAGAGUACAAGCAGGGAACAUGAUUUGGUGAAACAAACAUUUACGAAGCAUUCACUCUGCCAGGCUUGUGGUGCUACAUACCAAGGUGAGAGAGAGUCGUGCAUCAGAUAAGUUCUCUGUCCUGGAGAAGGCCACAUUCUUUGGCACCACAUGUCCUCAACCUCAGACCAUAUUCACAAUUUUUGCUACACCCACAUAUCACAUGCACUAUUAUUUGUUUAAUAUUUAUCUUCAGAUAGACCCACUUCGUGGCAUCACAGUGAAUGGAGGAAAAGACACAGAAGUAAUUACUGGCAAUAACUAGAAUAAAUAUAACAUCAUCACAAUGUUAUAUUUCAUCUGUGCACUAGCUAAGUUCAUCUCAAGUGCCAGCUUGGGAAGGAAUAUUUGCCUUCAAUUUUCUCCUGGUUUCCUCUUUCCCAUCUAACUGUAGGCAUCAUUCCACAGCUUUCAGGCCCAGCUCUCACUCUGUGAGAAUGCUCUAGGCCUUUGUUACUCUCCUUCAUUUCUACUCUUCCUGCCACCCAUUGUACACAUCAAUGAGUGUUCAAAUUCCAUUUCCUCAUGGCCUACAUGGGUGGCUUACUGAGUAGUCUGAUAAAAUAACUCUCCUUGGAGAGUGCUCAUAGAGUAACAGCUAUCAAUAAUAGGAAAUGUGCAACGAGCCAGGUAUUGGACCAUAGAUCACUAUCUUAUUUAAUCUUCACAACAGUCCAGUGAGGAAGAUACUAUUAUUAUCCCCUUUUUACAGGUGAAGAGACUGAGGCUGGCAUUGUGACUAUGUAAAAGUUUACCCAAUUUGCUUAGGAUGCCACAGCCAGUAAUUUACAGACCUGUCCACCUUUCAAGUCUACAUGCUCUUAAACCGAAAAUUGGUCAACUUAUCUGUACCACAAUGAAUGGAAGGUGUAUAUUCAGACCUAUGCUAUAUCUCGCAGAAGAUAUAACAUAGCUCACUCCUCAUCUCACUCCCCCACCCACAACUACUGCCCUUCUCUGAAGUUCAUCUGUCACACAUUGCCAUAGUUGUCCUUCUAAACCACAAACAACCCCCUCCCUCCUUCUCUCUCUCUUAAUCUCACCCCAUUUUUGUCUUUAUCUCUCUUUCUCAUUCCCUCAUAUAAGCACACACACUCAAAGACCUCCAAUGGCUGGCUUCCCAUUGCCUACAGGAUACAGGACAAAGUUCAAACAUCUUACAGCCUUCAAAGCUCUUCACAAUCUGGUCACAACCUGACUUCCCUGCACCCUUUCUCUCUCAACUCACAGCCAUGUUAGUUGCCCUUCACCCAUCUCCCAAAAGGUCAUACUUCCCCCAUGGCUCUGGAAAAAGGCAGCCGUGAAUGCUGCAGGGUCAAAAUAAGAGCACCGGCUAGGGAGUAUAUAGCCCUAUGUUUGAAUUCCAACACUGGGCAGGUUAGUUAACCGCUGGGGACCUUCUCUGUGUUCUGACACUUAAGGCACUGACAAUGCUCCUCCCAUGUAAGAAUUGGACUGGAUCAUGGGUCUAAAGCACUUCACACAGGGCCUGGCCCUUCGCACAACAAUUGGCAUCUAGCAAGGAUUCAAAUACAUAUUGUCAUUGCUCCCUCAAAAAUUAACUGGAAUUGUUUUUUUCUUCCCAUCUGGAUAAAUGUUUAUCCAUUCUUCAAGCUCAAAAAGUAUCUUCUCUCUGAAGCCUUCUCCAAUCUGUUUGGGCAAUAUUAAUCCUUCCUCUCUAUUUCCCUACCACUCAGCACCGGCCUCAACUAUAACACUCAAAGUUGGAUUUUAAUUGUGUGUCACUUUUUUUCUUUCUACCAUUAGACCAUGAUCUCUUCAAGAGCUUUUAUAUCUAUCAAGUGCAAUACUCAGCAUAUGGAAAGGGACCCUCUGGAUGCUGGCACACGGGAGAAGCCAUCCCCGCCUCCAAUUUAUAAUAAACGAAUGUUGGAGUAAAUCUCUUCAUUAACUAAAUGGAGAAAGGAAUUUAUACUCCAAAGUAAUCACUCAUCUCUUCAGCACAAAAACCCCAAAGAUUCCACUUCCUGAACAUUCUUUCUAAUGGGACAGACCUUUGCUGACCGGCUGGGCACAGGCAUGACUUCAGCAGGUAAACUCCAUGGAGCUCGAAGCCCAAAGCAAACACACAGCAACACUGCCUGGAAGCCAGUGGGUGGCCUUGGCUGGUGAAAGCCCGUCCUUCAAGCAACUGAGGCAGGAGCCCAUUAAAGGUGUUAAUUUUACAUGAUGUGGCACGGCAAGUUUAUAAAUAAAUAACAAAUGAACAUUCCCCACGGUUCCUCUCCUCUGAGUUUCUGUGUACCUGCUGCAGGCCUGGCAACAGCAGGAGCCACUCAGAUGCCAGAUCCGGAAUUGCCCUUCAAAAAGUGAAGAAGGAGGCCUUUCUGUCACCAGGACUUGAUAAGUUUUGAUGCUUUCAUUGCUGGAUCCAGCCACCUUUGAAAGCUAGCUACUAAUUCAUCCUCUGUGGUUGGAUGUGCUCAAUUUAAGAUUAUUAUCGUAAGCUACAAGAACAAAACACAGAUGUUAGAGUUUCAGAAAAAUGUACUGUUGGGGACCAUUAGUAAAAAAUACUGUUUAAAAUAUAUAACAUAUGUAACUAUUAAAUACAUAAAAAUCCUGUGUACCAUGAGGCAAAACAUGAUGAACAUUGUUGAAUAUUUUAAAUACCUAUAUUGCUGCAUAAAAUGGUUCUGUGCAGUAGAAUUUUCUAUUGCGGGAGAUUUAUGAAAUUUUGUCAAAGUGGUAGAUCAUGCUAAAGUCAGGGGAAAUACUAGCACACUUUAGGUUGCUUCCUAUUUUUAAUUAAGUUUGAAACUGCAUCUUUGCACUUGUGAGUGUGCAUAUAAAUAUAUGUAAGUGCAGAUGUGAUGAACAAUAAUGCUGAUCUAUGCAGACAUUCAAAUUCACACACAAAAUGGCCCACUCCCACUGCAGAGAAUAUUACUUAAUUGAGGCUAGGUCUGUGUAAUUAUAAUGAACUAGAUGUAGAACGGCAAAACUCAACCAGUAUGGUUCACCCUCAUUUAUUUUAACAGCAUAAGAGGAAAGAAUUGAGCAAGCUCUUUUGUGUCCUGACCUGGAUUUCCAACACGGAGAUGAAUCACGACAAUCAACUGUUAUGGUGCUUGUCAUGUUGACCCAUGUCAACAAAGGUGGAGACCGAUUGAGCUUGGGUAGGUUGGCUGAAGUCCAUCUAAUUCUUAUUCCAAGGGACUAAGACAGGGAAAUGGGCUCAAAGGUACCCUUGAGAACAAACUGGGGCCCAAGUUACUCAAGAGUCCAAAAUACUAGGCAAGUAUUAACAAAGGUGGACAACCAAGGGCAAAUGAUAAGGUCAGGUACACAGCAAUGAAAGUCUACAUAAAGGAAGGUGGAGCAAAAAGAAGCAAAAAGAAUGCAAGCAGUGGGCUCUCUGAACACAAUUUGAGUUCUUUUUCUCCAAAAGCUGCUCCCCGUCCACCCGGAUCAACCUCUCCUUCGAAUUUCCACAGCACCUGGAGUUCAUAUCAUAUCAUCUAGCAUGUAAUCAUGUACAUGUAUGUCUUUGUUUUCAUCCUAACUCAGUUUAAUUGUUUAGAGAUCAGUAACUAUAUCUCACAUAUCUGUGUUUUCUCCAGGGUCUAGCACAGCUUUAUGUACAUUAAAUUUUCAGUAAUUGCUCAUUGGUUGAGCUCAAAGUGAUUUUUGGCCUCAAGCAAGGAUUGAUAACAAGCUCCAUCCAUUUUUCCUCCAACAUGUCGAGUCUACAUAUCUGUUCCAAUGUUCCUACAAAGCAUAUAAACAUAUACUCUAAAACAUACGAGGGUACGUUUCUGUUUAUUCUACACUUGUUUCUGUAACUUUUUAAUACAACCAUACAUGCAGAACCAACUAAUUCUUCUGGUAACUACAUAAAAUUCUAUGGUAUGGCUCCAUCACAAUUUAAUCAUAGGCAUACCUCAUUUGGUUGUGUUUUGCUUUAUUGUGCUUUAUUGUACAGAUAAUGCAUUUUUUAAAAUAAAUUGAAUGUUUGUUGCAACUAUGUGUCAAGCAAGUUUAUCGGUACCAUUUUUCCAACAGCAUGUGCUCACGUCGUAUCUCUGUGUUACAUUUUCGUAAUCCUCACACUGUCAAACUUUUUCAUUAUGAUCUUAUUUGUUAUAGUGAUUUGUGAUUGGUGAUCCUUGAUGUUAUUAUUGUACUUACUUUGAGGUGCCAUGAAUUGUGCCCAUACAAGACAGCAAACCUAAUUGAUAAACAUUGUGUGUGAUCUGACUGCUCCACCUACCGGCCAUCCCCCCAUCUCUCUCCCUCUCUUCAGGCUUUCCUAUUCCAAGACACAACAAUAUUAAAUUAG
rnacentral:lncRNA from 10 species